rnacentral:tRNA from 2 species
GCCGAAGUGAUGGAAUUGGCAGACGUACAGGACUCAAAAUCCUGCGGUAGCAAUACCGUGCGGGUUCGACCCCCGCCUUCGGCACCA